rnacentral:rRNA from 1 species
AGCAUAUCAAUAAGCGGAGGAAAAGAAACCAACAGGGAUUGCCCUAGUAACGGCGAGUGAAGCGGCAACAGCUCAAAUUUGAAAUCUGGCGUCUUUGGCGUCCGAGUUGUAAUUUGCAGAGGGCGCUUUGGCAUUGGCAGCGGUCCAAGUUCCUUGGAAACAGGACGUCACAGAGGGUGAGAAUCCCGUACGUGGUCGCUAGCCUUUACCGUGUAAAGCCCCUUCGACGAGUCGAGUUGUUUGGGAAUGCAGCUCUAAAUGGGAGGUAAAUUUCUUCUAAAGCUAAAUACUGGCCAGAGACCGAUAGCGCACAAGUAGAGUGAUCGAAAGAUGAAAAGCACUUUGGAAAGAGAGUUAAAAAGCACGUGAAAUUGUUGAAAGGGAAGCGCUUGCAGCCAGACUUGCCUGUAGUUGCUCAUCCGGGUUUUUACCCGGUGCACUCUUCUAUAGGCAGGCCAGCAUCAGUUUGGGCGGUUGGAUAAAGGUCUCUGUCACGUACCUCCUCUCGGGGAGAACUUAUAGGGGAGACGUAAUGCAACCAGCCUGGACUGAGGUCCGCGCAUCUGCUAGGAUGCUGGCGUAAUGGCUGUAAGCGGCCCGUCUUGAAACACGGACCAAGGAGUCUAACAUCUAUGCGAGUGUUUGGGUGUCAAGCCCGAGCGCGUAAUGAAAGUGAACGGAGGUGGGAACCUUUCGGGGUGCACCAUCGACCGAUCCUGAUGUCUUCGGAUGGAUUUGAGUAAGAGCAUAGCUGUUGGGACCCGAAAGAUGGUGAACUAUGCUUGAAUAGGGUGAAGCCAGAGGAAACUCUGGUGGAGGCUCGCAGCGGUUCUGACGUGCAAAUCGAUCGUCAAAUUUGGGCAUAGGGGCGAAAGACUAAUCGAACUAUCUAGUAGCUGGCUCUGCGA